GACGGAGGGUGCAAGCGUUGUUCGGAAUUACUGGGCGUAAAGCGCGCGUAGGCGGACCUGCAAGUCGGGGGUGAAAGCCCGAGGCUCAACCUCGGAACUGCCUUCGAUACUGCGGGUCUCGAGUCCGGGAGAGGUGAGUGGAAUUCCUAGUGUAGAGGUGAAAUUCGUAGAUAUUAGGAAGAACACCAGUGGCGAAGGCGGCUCACUGGCCCGGUACUGACGCUGAGGCGCGAAAGCGUGGGGAGCAAACAGG
rnacentral:rRNA from 1 species